rnacentral:rRNA from 1 species
GACGAACGCUGGCGGCGUGCUUAACACAUGCAAGUCGAACGGAAAGGCCCUGAUUUUGUUCCUCGCACGUGUGGCGCGCGCGUGAGUAAAACGUGAGUAACCCGUCCUUGCCUUAGGGAUAAAUUCAGGAAAAUCGGGCUCAUACCGGAUAUGAGCUCUUGAUGCAUGGGGGGGGAUAGAAAGUUUCGGCGGUGGUGGAUGGACUCGCGGGUUACCAGCUGGUUGGUGGGGUAGUUGCUUACCAAGCGUUUGACGGGUAGCCGGCCUGAGAGAGGGACCGGCCACAUGGGGACUGAGAGACGCCCCAGACGCCAACGGGAGGCAGCAGUGGGGAACAUGGCACAAGGGGCGGAAGCCGGAGGCAGCAACGCCGGGAGCGGAAUAACGGCUUUCGGGUGGAAAACCGCUGUCGCCUGUGACGAAGCGGGAGUGACGGUAAUGGGUAAAGAAGCACCGGCUAACUACGUG